rnacentral:rRNA from 1 species
UACGGGGGGGGCAAGCGUUGUUCGGAAUUACUGGGCGGAAAGGGCUCGUAGGGGGCCAACUAAGUCAGACGUGAAAUCCCUCGGCUUAACCGGGGAACUGCGUCUGAUACUGGAUGGCUUGAGGUUGGGAGAGGGAUGCGGAAUUCCAGGUGUAGCGGUGAAAUGCGUAGAUAUCUGGAGGAACACCGGUGGCGAAGGCGGCAUCCUGGACCAACACUGACGCUGAGGAGCGAAAGCCAGGGGAGCAAACGGG